AAAUGUAGAAAAUUAGGAAUUUAAAGCCAUCCGUGAGUAGUUUUUGAUGAUUCAGCUGGAAAUCAUACAGUUUGCUCCCAUCUUAAAACAGUAUAUCAUGGACACCAAGGAAAGAUCUAAAUGCCAUAAUUUUGGGCAUCUUGAAAACUGGAAAGGAGGGUCACUUUGAAGCAGAUGAUAGUUAUAGUGUAUAAAAGAAUUCUUUGUCACAGUUAUACCAGUUUGAACAGGUAACAGUUAAAAUUAUUGGAGUUUGAAAUAAUAUCCAUGAUUUCUGGGAUAAAUUGAUACAAUAAGGUAUCAAUCAGAGCCGGGACUAUUAUACUCCCAGAUUAAAGCAUUCAAAAGAUUAAAUGAAUUUAAUAAACAUAUUUUUCAAAAUAUCUUUUAAAUGGAAUCAAAAUCAAAUUUCUGUGAGAAUUUUCCAGACACAUUGUUGUUUGAUUCUGCUUUAUUUUGAAAUUAGAAAUCAUUUGACAAAGUUUACAAUAUUUUCCCAACUGACUAUCAUGAAGCCUGUUCAAUUAUUUCAAUAAAUCCCCCCUCUUCCACAUUUGUGAGUUACAAUGGGAAAUUCUUAUCUGCAUAUGUAUAUUCUGUGCUGAAUGCAAUUUUAUACAUUUUAAUUCAUCAUGUUCAAACAUUAUUUGAAUAGGAUAAUAAUUUAAAAUAAAAAAAAAUCUAAAACUAUCAGACUCAGAAGUUAUAAAAAUAAGAAGAUGUAGUACAUGUAGUUACAAAAUGUAUUGUAGUAUGAUCAUGAUAAUUGCCAAUGAGAAAAUCACAUGUACCACUGACUGCCAUAUACAUGUACAUAAUAGACAUGUCUGUCACCUUAUCAUGCUUAUCCUUAAUAUGUUCAUGUACAUAAUGUAUAGUACAUGUACAAAAAUGAAUGUAAGCAACUACAAAUGAAUACAUUUUGUAUAUACAUGUACAUGUAGAAUAGAUACAAGUAUAAGAAGAUGUCGUAUGAAAGUCAAUCACAGGUCACAGUUUAUAAAAGUAAACACAAUCCUACAGUUAUCAGGAUAGUCAUAUAUAUUCAUGAUAUUUAUGUCAGAUAUGUGUUGUACAUUGUACAUGUAAACAGUAAGCUUAAUUUGUGGAUCAUGAAAAAGCAGGAGUAAAUCAUUGCUUUUUAAUCUAUGACAUGUAUGAGAGUCAAAUUUAAAUUUUCUGUAAUUUUGAUUGCUACAAAUGUACAUGAACGUAUACCUAUAUUUUACAUGACCUUUAAUAUUACAUACAUGUAUGAAAGAUACUUUGUAAAUUGGUUAUUGCAUAUUUAACAUGUUUAAAAGAAUAAAACUUGUAAAUCAAAUCUUAAGACAAUUAGAUUCUUAACUCACUAUUUAGAUGGGAUCUUUAUGGACAGCAAUACUUUUAUUUCUUAAGUUUGUUGUUUAUUGUCCUUCAUGUGCUUAGAAACUAAAUUUAGACAUGUACAAAAAAAUGUAUAUGAUCAUGAUGAUAUAACAUGUAUAAGGAUUUCAAACUUUUUACAUUACAAAACUGAAAAAGAAAACCAAAAUAUAACAUGUAUAAUUAGGAUUUCAAACUUUUUACAUUACAAAACUGCAAAAAAAAAAACCAAAAUAGCUCAUUUUUAGAUCUUGUCAUUAGUAUUUAGAUACAUUUGUACAUAUACAUGUAUGAUCAUGAUGAGAAUAUGAGGUUAAUUUGACUCAAAUAUAUGAAGUAAACUUGUUUAGUAAAUCACAAUUGACCUUUCUGUACUAAAGUGUUCAUUUAAUGUAGAUCAUUUUAUAUAUUAGCUUGUCCAUUUAACAAAAGAACUAAUCAUACAAAAAUGUCAUGUAACUUUGAAAGGUUGAAUAAGUUUUCUAUGUUUUAAUGUAGUAAGAUGCUAUUAAGGUGGUAUGGGAGUCUAAAAUAAAAAUGAUAGAAUUUGUUCAUACUUUGCCAAAACGUUGUAUCUUUUGAUACAUGUUGAAAAAUAUAAUAAAAUGAUAGGUCAUCGCGCAUUUUCUCAAGCUACAGGACGGGACAAAAUGACACAUUUUGUAUGGAUUAUACAGGAAAAAACACCAUUUUGUGAUUAGAAACUAAACACAAUGAUAGAAUUGUUCAAUACUUCAGGAAAAGAUAGCUUUCAGACACUGCUUUGAGAAUAUCAAAAGAAAAGAUAGGGUCACCGUACGUUUUUUCCGGCUAAAAUACAAAAUAGGAAAAUUCCAUACAGAAUCCUUCAGAAAAUGCACUUUUUUAGAGUUACCUCCCCUUAAAAUGCCAAUUUUUAAAAAAGAUAAAAAACAACCAAAAAUAAUUAACAUUUGCAAAAAUAUCAAUAUUUAGAAGUUAUAUUCUUAUAAAUUGGUACUUUUAAAUGAAAAUGUACAUUAAACAUCUGCAUUCCUGCAUCAAAUUUUGCUAACUUGAUGGAAAAUCUGGACCUUUGAUUCUCUGAUUUUUACAAUCCAAGAUGGAGGAAGACACCCAUACCACCUUAAAUAGAUCAUUUUAUAUUUUCCACUGGUUCUUAAGAUAAGAAAAUAACUAAUUUGAUUUUAAAUACAAUUUUCCAAAUUCAAUUCAAAGAAUAAUUGAUCACCUUAUAAUCUGUUAUUUCUUUAAACAGAUAAAAGAUACAUCAGAUGACAGACUUACAUGUUCAAAAAAUUCGUAAGGGUUCCACGGAACCCAGUGUCUCGCCUACUUUUGCUGUUAAUCGCAGACUCAACAAAAAUGAGGAAAAACAUCAAUAAAAAUUUCUCUCUCGAUACUGUCUUUUGAUUGAAAGAAGCUUCCAAGUUUGGUAAAAAAA
rnacentral:lncRNA from 1 species